rnacentral:rRNA from 1 species
UGAGCAACCUGCCUUUGACUUUGGAAUAACAGUUGGAAACAGCUGCUAAUACCGGAUAUGACCUUCUCUGGCAUCAGGGGAGGUGGAAAGCUCCGGCGGUCAAGGAUGGGCUCGCGGCCUAUCAGCUAGUUGGUGAGGUAACGGCUCACCAAGGCUUCGACGGGUAGCCGGCCUGAGAGGGCGACCGGCCACACUGGGACUGAGAUACGGCCCAGACCUCCGUACGGGAGGNAG